CCCCUAGACGUUCUGGGCUGCACGCGCGCUACAAUAAUACGCACAGCGAGUAUCACCGAGCUCGAAAGGGCAAGGUAAACAAUAGAAAAGGUACUGUAAUGGUUAUAGAUCCUUGUAAUUAUUGAUCUUCAACGAGGAAUUCCUAGUAAGUAUGUGUCAUCAUCACGCACUGAUUACGUCCCUGCCCUUUGUACACACCGCACGUCGCUCCUACCGAUUGGGUGAGCCGAUGAAACUCUCGGAUGUAGGCUAUUCAUAGCCCGCAGAAGAGAUUUGAAUCGUAGCGCUUAGAGGAAGGAGAAGUCGUAACA
rnacentral:rRNA from 1 species